rnacentral:lncRNA from 1 species
GAGAACAUUAUUAGAUGUCAAUCGAGCACUUAGCCAUACAAGUAGAACUUUUCCCUCAACUCAGUUUACCAUCAAGAUAUCAAUUGGCUAAGUAAAAAACAUGCAUGAAGAAUUACUCCCUUAAUAAAAGGAUGACAUUGACGAACAUUUAGGGGGAGAAAUAGAGACUUCAAUCCAUUAUUUUCAUGCUCCUCACAUCAUUC